rnacentral:rRNA from 1 species
UACGUAGGCAGCGAGCGUUGUUCGGAGUUACUGGGCGUAAAGGGUGUGUAGGCGGUUGUUUAAGUUUGGGGUGAAAUCUCCCGGCUCAACUGGGAGGGUGCGCCGAAUACUGAAUGACUAGAGUGCGGGAGAGGUGAGUGGAAUUCCCAGUGUAGCGGUGAAAUGCGUAGAUAUUGGGAGGAACACCAGUGGCGAAGGCGGCUCACUGGACCGGAACUGACGCUGAGGCGCGAAAGCGUGGGGAGCAAACAGG